UCUUAUGUCUCUCUCUUUUUCCCUCUAUAUGAAGAAACCCUAAAUUAUUCUUCCUCACAAUUCCUCUCAUCUCUCAAGGUGAUUCUUUAUCUUACAAUAUUCCCUUCAUCAUCUUUGUGUGUUCUUGCACAUCUUCAUUUUCUUCAAGGUAAAGUGGCGGCUCUUCUCUCAAACCCUAAUUUUCAUCGAAAACUUGAUACAGAUCUAUCGCAAACCCUAAAAUUCACAGCUUCCCAUUCACGCUUCUUUCUUAGAAUAAUAUGCUCCAUUCAAAGGUUAGGUGAUCUAGAUUUUUUGGUUCUUCUUCUUUCAAACCCUUAAUCUCCUCUAAAGUUGUGUCUUCAAUAUUCCUUCCUCGCUCUCUGGAUCUCCCUGUAAUUGUGUAUGAUUGAAACAUUGGAGCAUUUGAUUACGGAAUAUGAUCGGGUUCAAGAGCUUUCUUAUUCAAACAGAUAAAACUGAGGUACAACAUCAGAUAGUGCUUUUUGUUGGAAUGACAUGUGGUAUAAUGAUGCUUCUCUUUACAAGCUUCUGGGGAGAAUGGGCACUCACUGGUAAUAACAUCUCUCUUUUCAUUGUCAUGUAAUUGAUGCCUUUAACCCAGGCUAUUGAUAUUGAUAAUAAUUAGACUUAAUUAAAAACACGAGUAUUGUUUUUUGUUUAAAAGUAGUACAAGCAAUAUAAAGGAUCUUGAUCUUUGUAGCACAAAUAACACCAUGUUCCUUGACAUUCAUUGUUGGUGUCUGUUGUAGUUUUUUGAUCUUCAAUUGAGGCUAUCGGAAGUUGACGAGUCACCGGUGUCUAUUGUAGUUGUUUUGCUUUGUUGCCUGCAUUACUCAUUGCACUAGGUAUUUUGUUACAGUUUAAUCUAAGUAUUUGGGAUUACCCUAUCCGGUUCGGAGGAGAUGUCAAACCGAAUGGCAUAGAAUACUAUGUCGAGUCUGGUCAACUGGGUUGCGUACAGUCACUGAGUCCAUAAUUGAAUUGCUGGAAUCUCAUUCCAUAAUUUCAAUGUUUGUCUGUUGGAUGAUGAUUUGAUGAGUUUUAAAGGCUGUGAUGGUAAAUUUCAAUGCGUCUGAGCGAAAUUGGGCAAAGAUAAGAUUGUCCGCAUCUUGGCAGGGCAACCCGGAUGGUCAUGUGGUUUCACAUGGCAACCGUAAGUAUGCAGCCAUGGCGGAUUUAUCUACUCUGUUUGAUUGUUUACAAAUCUGAGCCUCAUAAUCGUUUUAUAACAUCGACAACAGUACUGGUAUACAUCUGUUAUGUUUUUUGUUUUGGUACUUUCAAUGAUGCCAGCACUGAACGCACAAAAAUGGAUUUGACGAUGAUGAGGACAUGGUAAGAUAUAUAUAUAUAUAUAUAUAUUUUACAUUACAGCAUUCUGUUAUUGUUGUAUUUUUCCCACAUUGCAGAAGUUUCAGGUCCCAGAAUUAAACAGUAAAUGGAAGAGGCGGCUUUUUGUUAUCUUACAUGAUAAGCUGAAGAUACCCGGUAAGCUUAUGGUAUUUCAGGUUCAUAACUUACAAAUUUUGAUGAUCUCGAUAUAUAUAUUUUGUUGAGUAGAUAUGCUUCUGAUGGCAAUCUUUUCUCUGAUAAUCAAAGUUACAAAUCAUAAACCCAAAUGUACAGUUUACUUGCCCUUAUGAAUCUGCCAUGUUAACAGCCGGAUAAUAUAACAUCACUAAUUCUUGCUGAAAAAUAUAUUUUUAAUUCAAUUUUAAUUUUAUGGUAUAUUAAUAUAUAGUAAAGCAAUUAAUGGAUAGUGACCGACUGACCUUUUCACUUACAAUUUGCAUUGCGACAGACAGAAGUUUAAAAUUUUGAAUGGCUUUAUAAAAAAUCGCCAUUUUGAAUGGCUAAGCAUGCAACCUUUAAAAUUUUUUGCCAUUUUCAAUGGCUAAACAUGUAGACUUGGAAAAGUUUCGCCAUUACAAAUGGCUUUUUGCAGGAUUUCGCCAUUCCAAGUGGCAUUUUGCAGGUUUUCGCCAUUCCAAAUGGCUCUUUGCAGCUUUUCGUCCUUUUCAAGAUGAUUGGUUCUUACACAUUUCUGAUUAUUCCCUUACACAAACUACUACCUUUAAAAAUUCGCCAUUUGUAAUGGCGCUGGCAUUAUUUAUGCAACAUUUUUUAAACUAGCAUUAGUUGUGAUCAUCAUUUCAAAAACAACACUAUAACAACGAAUAACUCAGUGCUUAUCCCAUCUUCAAUGAAGAUUUUAGAGAAAUCCCUGGGACUUUCAAUGCGGAGCGAGUCGAUAGAGAUAUUCGAGCAGGUCAGUUUUGAUUUAUUGACUAAAAAGCUACAACUUGUAUAUUUUUCUUUCUACCAUAACUGAUGUACAAAAAACGGGCUGAGCCGUUCGCGACACUGGCUUGUGAAAAGUCUUCUAUUCUAUUAUAUAUAAUAAAUGAAUAGAUUUGAGCUGAGGUGUCAUUACCUUAGAGCCUCUUAGAUGCCUUUUUGGCGGGAAAAUAAGAUGGAUCCUUUUCUUGCUCGCGGAUCCCGUUUUUUGUUACCCGACCCAAUUAGUUCGGAUCCUAUUUAAUCCACAAAAUUAGGCGCUUUGCUUUAUCCGAUUAGUCCAUAAUUUCAAUUUUUGUCUGUUGGAUGAUGAUUUGAUGAGUUUUAAAGGCUGUGAUGAUUAAUUUCAAUGCGUUUGAGUGAAACUGGGCAAAGAUGAGAUUGUCCGCAUCUUGGCAGGGCAACCCGGAUAGUCAUAUGGUUUCACAUGGCAACCGUAAGUAUGCAGCCAUGGUGGAUUUAUCCACUCUGUUUGAUUUUUUACGAAUCUGAGCCUCAUAAUCAUUUUAUAACAUCGACACAUUCACUAUUGUUUAGAAACGGAAACCAGAUUUUGAGACAAACUAACUCGGUCUUGGUCACGUAAGUCAAAACCAACUGGCAAACGCGGCAAACACUGGAUUAAAUAAUCUUUUACUGCUGCUAAUCCAGAAUAACUAACAUGGUACUUUUUGUACCUUCUGUCUUAAGUUUAUAAGUCAAAGAGACCUUAUAUCGCUUCUUCUUCAGCCUACUAUAUGUAGAGGCGGCAAAACGGGUGGGUCUGGCGAAUUUAGAACAUGUCAAAACGGGUAAUUCUUUUAAUACGGGUCUAAAUGGGCAGGGUUUUUUUUUUUGGGCUGAUGUGCCCAUUUUAUAUAUUACGAAUAAUUAACGCAUUAAAGAGUUAUAAAAGGCAUACUGGUUAACACAAUAAUCAUUUUUUAUUAUGUGAAUCAGCUUAAAAAACAUGUGGGAUUAUUUAUGUGAACCUAAAUAUAUGUAUAUUUAUAUAGGUUUUGGUGUUCACACAGAUCCAGAAACCAGUUUUCAUGCUAAAGUGAUGUUCUUUUCACUUAUACCAUUUUAAUCAUCCUAUUUCUAAGUGAUUGGAUUAUCAUAUUCUACUCAAGAACACAAGAUCGUCAUACUUGUGUCACUUUCUGUUUCAAUAAUCUAUAUAAUCACAUACUUCUUGUAUCAGGUAUACAUUUGUUUCAUUUACAAAAAAUGUUGCUAGAAGCGUAUAGGAUGUAGAUGCAUUACUUGAUUCAUUAUGGUGUUUUGGAAACCUUUUUGUAGUGUUUUGAGUAACGGAUAUAGGAAAAGAGAUGACUAGAGUCCCGUUAUAGACCCUCAAUGAAAAAAAAUCAUCGGUCGGCCAUUGGUACCGCAUAGUAGCAUAGUAUCAACACCAAAGUUUAUUUUAUAUAUUUAAACACUCUUGAGUUGUUCAUCUACAUGCAUCAUCUGGCUAUGAUUAUAUAAUACCAUUUAAAGAUGGAAUAUCUUGCCUAAACAGUUGUUGGAUUAAGAUUUAAUAAAUAAGUUUUGAAAUAUUUAUUAUAGUUUUUGGGGAACAAAUGUGAAAUAUUAGUGGGAUGAGAUUUAGAUUUUAUUAGUGUGCAUAUGAUACUGUUUGAUUUGAUAUUUGAAGAAGGUAUUUAACACCGUCUAAGUACUUUAAUACAUCCAGGUGUACAUUAUUGUUUGAAGAUGAAAAGGGUAUUUUUUCACAUGAUAUAUGUUUUACGAUAUCAGUUUAUUCAGUAUUCCUUUCAUACCGCAAAGAAAAUACAAAGUUUCACAUGAUACUUAACUUUUAGGAAGACAACCUUUAGAGGAUCCGAGGUAACAGUUGCACGAAUGGCGUAUUUUAUUUUUUUAUUUUGAUCACUUUGUUUUAAGUAGAUGUGCUCUUUAAGUGGGAGUUAAUGUUUUUUUUUUCUAAAGACAUUGUUGUCGAAUUAGAUAUCCCAUCAAGUGAAGAAAAGUUCAAGUGAACCUAUAUUCAAGCGACCAUGCGCGUCUCCAAACACCAUCGUCGUUACCGAAAUUUAAGGGACUCGAUUUACUAAGAGAAUUGUUUUGGCAACUCGAAGGAUAUGCAUCUUUAAAGGGACUCGACUAUCUUUAAAUUGUAUUUCCACUUUGUCAUUAAUUCAUGCAAGAUAACACUUUGUUUGUAUUUUUUUUAUUUGAACACUUAAUAUUUACCUAAUUAUUUUUUUCCAGCCCGGGAAGCAAUCCCGGAUGAUAACCUCGUUGGCUGAUAAAUAAAUAUUAAAACUCUUCUUGCAAA